AAACCGACAAAUUUGGUUGAAGAAGCUGAAGACGGUGAGGAUUCUAUCACUAUUCAAGGCAGUAUCGAGUAAAAUCAAAUGGUGCUAAAAAUAAGUCAAAAUGGGACACCAUUUAAUUUGGAUAAAAAAUCUUGCAUCCUGCUUUGGCUAGUGAUGCAAAUAAAUCUGGUGCAACAUUUGGGAAUGAACAGAAAAAUAUGCAUGAAACGAGUACUCGUGUGGAGCUUAUGGCUGACAACAGGGCAGGCGGAUUAUUUCGAAGCUGAUUUCAGAGUUCGAUACAUAAUAAUUUCUAGAUCAUUUUUGGUGAUUUAGGAGAAUCACAUGUCAAGAACGGCAUUCUCAACCACUUUAAAAGUUAUAUUAGUCAAUUGCGGUAAGUAGUGGAGUUAGGAGUUGGUAAAUGGAAUUCUGUCCGGAUUCCAAUAACCCAUCUUCUUCGUACAGUAAGAAUGAUGAUAAGGUAACUAAUUCAUCAAACAUUGCUAAGAAAGCUAUCUUGGUCAGCAAAACAAGCAAGUUGCUUUAUUAGGGGAGUUGUAGAUGCCAAUAUUCCUACUAAAGGACCUUGCUUAUGCAAGGGGAGAGUUUGUGGGGGACGAACUAUUAUUAGGAAAUAUAAUUAUGGAAGAGAUUAUGAGCCAAUAAAAUAUAUCACUCGAGCAUGAUGUCAGAAUAAUGAUAAGGGAACAUGUAGUUAAGAACAUUCUCUUUUUUAUUUCAUAAAAUUUUAGCUAGAGGUUAGGUUGCAUGUCUUCUUCCAAAGUUUUGAAUUUUUUUUUGUUUUGGUAUGAAUAAAUAGUCUACUUUGUGUUUUGUUUAAAAG
rnacentral:lncRNA from 1 species